AUACGGAGGAUCCGAGCGUUAUCCGGAUUUAUUGGGCUUAAAGGGAGCGUAGGCGGACGCUUAAGUCAGUUGUGAAAGUUUGCGGCUCAACCGUAAAAUUGCAGUUGAUACUGGGUGUCUUGAGUACAGUAGAGGCAGGGGGAAUUUGUGGUGUAGCGGUGGAAUGCUUAGAUAUCACGAAGAACUCCGAUUGCGAAGGCAGCCUGCUGGACUGUAACUGACGCUGAUGCUCGAAAGUGUGGGUAUCAAACAGGAUUAGAUACCCUGGUAGUCCACACAGUAAACGAUGAAUACUCGCUGUUUGCGAUAUACAGUAAGCGGCCAAGCGAAAGCGUUAAGUAUUCCACCUGGGGAGUACGCCGGCAACGGUGAAACUCAAAGGAAUUGACGGGG
rnacentral:rRNA from 1 species